UACGUAGGGUGCGAGCGUUAAUCGGAAUUACUGGGCGUAAAGCGUGCGCAGGCGGUUGGCAAAGUCAGCUGUGAAAGCCCCGGGCUUAACCUGGGAACUGCAUUUGUGACUGCAUCGCUGGAGUGCGGCAGAGGGGGAUGGAAUUCCGCGUGUAGCAGUGAAAUGCGUAGAUAUGCGGAGGAACACCGAUGGCGAAGGCAAUCCCCUGGGCCUGCACUGACGCUCAUGCACGAAAGCGUGGGGAGCAAACAGG
rnacentral:rRNA from 1 species